UCGAAUCUAACAUGAAGAGGUAGAGAGACUGUGCUGGCCAUUAGCUGCAUGUGCACGUCCCCUCGCCUUUUUCUGUCUAUAUACACCUGUGCACCUAUUGUAGAUCCCCUCGAAAGAGUGGGAACUAUGUAUGUUUUCAUCACAUCACACACAAAGAAUGUCUAGAAUGUAAAUGUGAUCGUGAAUUCAUUCCGUGAUCGGAAAUGAGAUGCGACACAAGUCACAAAUAUAUA
rnacentral:misc_RNA from 1 species